rnacentral:rRNA from 1 species
CCUACGGGAGGCAGCAGUGAGGAAUAUUGGUCAAUGGACGAGAGUCUGAACCAGCCAAGUAGCGUGAAGGAUGACUGCCCUAUGGGUUGUAAACUUCUUUUAUAUGGGAAUAAAACGUUCCACGUGUGGGAUUUUGUAUGUACCAUAUGAAUAAGGAUCGGCUAACUCCGUGCCAGCAGCCGCGGUAAUACGGAGGAUCCGAGCGUUAUCCGGAUUUAUUGGGUUUAAAGGGUGCGUAGGUGGUUUGUUAAGUCAGUUGUGAAAGUUUGCGGCUCAAACGUAAAAUUGCAGUUGAAACUGGCAGUCUUGAGUACAGUAGAGGUGGGCGGAAUACGUGGUGUUGCGGUGAAAUGCUUAGAUAUCACGAAGAACUCCGAUUGCGAAGGCAGUUCACUGGACUGCAACUGACACUGAGGCUCGAAAGUGUGGGUAUCAAACAGGAUUAGAUACCCUGGUAGUC